rnacentral:rRNA from 1 species
UACGGGGGGGGGCAAGCGUUGUUCGGAAUUACUGGGCGUAAAGGGCUUGUAGGUGGCCAACUAAGUCAGACGUGAAAUCCCUCGGCUUAACCGGGGAACUGCGUCUGAUACUGGAUGGCUAGAGUGUGGGAGAGGGAUGCGGAAUUCCAGGUGUAGCGGUGAAAUGCGCAGAUAUCAGGAGGAACACCAACGGCGAAGGCAGCUCGCUGGGACGGUACUGACGCUGAGGCGCGAAAGCGUGGGGGAGCGAACAGG